CACAUCUGCGCAAGCUGAUAAGAAGUCCUGGGCACUCCCUCCCCUGGAGCUGGAGAAGUGAAGCCACGCAAACCCUGGCUUCAGUGCAAGAACCCUGAUGCAGGUCUUUCCCCUUAACCACAGUAAAAACCAAAGCCACCUGUGUCUUCAUUCAACUCACUUUGGACCAGCUUUGGUGCCUGCCUUGCUCUCCCCGGAAGCCCCUCUAUAGCUCACCAGGACUCUUCAAUGCCUUAAAAUGCCUCUGCUGCUGCUGCCCACACCUCUGUUGCAACACAGAUCCUGAUUCUCAAGAUCAUAGAGGACGAACUCCCAUGGCAACCUACGGCGUGGCCAGAGGAUACCACCACGCUACCGGAUAACUGUGAAGCAAACCGAAAAAGACUGAGCUGACUGAGUACCGAACCUUAUCAGUGUAUCACGUGAUCAAUUCAAACCCGACUUAAUCCCAAGAGAAGGGGAUGUGUUUGCCUGUGUGCUCACCACAGAGGAUUACCAGAUGAACAAGCGUUACCAUUGCAUCGUAUCUGCCACAGUUAUUAAGUGCCAACCAGGUAUUGAACUACGUGUUGACAGGCAUUGGGCAAAGCAUUGGUGACACAAAGAUAAAAGAGAAAACAUUUCUGCCCUCAAAUUAUUCACGGUCUAAUGGAGAACAAAGAAGAUGGACGAUUGUAGUGUAACAUAUGAAAAGUAAAAUUCAGAGAAUUUGGGGAACACCAAGAGGGGAUCAUGUCCAGUCUGGAGGACUCAAGAACAUGGGAGACCCCUUGCUGCAGAGUCUAACUUACUGCAGUGUCUACCAGUUCCAAGCUGUUUCUCAAGACCCUCUAGAGACAUUACCUAGAAGGAAUUAUAAGUCCCAAGCAUCACAAUGUUCUCAUUCCAUGAUCUGUUUUUGCAGAAGUAUUUUACUCAUGGGUAAGAUGCAAAGCGGAAGAGAAGAACACGGACCUUGGAGUAAUCACUCCUAGGUCCAAAUCAUGGCUUACCCACUUAGUGGCAUUGCAACUUUGGAAAAAUGACUACAUGUUCCUGGACCCCAGCUUUCUAAUUUGUAAAAUGACAGUAAUAAUGAGGUAAUUUGUAGGUUUACAUGAGGCAACAUUUAAUGUGCUGAUACAGUUCCUUCCUGGCAUUUAACAAAUGUUUUAAAUCCAUGAAUAUUCAUUAACAUUCGUUACCUUUUGAAGUUAUUACCAUAGCUAAAAUUAUUAAUAGUAAAAUUCAAAAACUUUCAACAGUUUUCAAAUAAUUUAAUCUUAUGGAGCAGUGUUUUAAAGUGGAUACAACAUCCAGGACGGCAAAGGGAUUUCUCAAGUUACAAAUAGCCUUUAUUCUGAACAUGUAUAUGUAAAGCCAUUAUUUGGAUCUUAUAAUCACAUUGUCACACAUAAACAAUGUUACUAAUCCACGGAACCAUCAUCAAACACGUAUUGAAUAUAUGUUUUUGUGUUGGUGUUUCAGGUUAGAAUGCAAAAUCCUAUUUAACCCACAAUGUAAGUGAAAGGCAAGAAAUUCCUUCCAUUUGCUCCUUCACACAUUGCAGCUUAAAUCUCUUGAUGCAGCUGAGUUAACGGCCAGUUUCACCACUUGCACCCACUUCUGCGAGAGUAUUAACAUUGUGGUUAAUGAGUGUGGUUUUUGCACGGGUGUAACACAGACAAUGAAAUAUACACAAACAUGUCUACAUUGUGCAGUUUCACUAUACAUAAUAUUUUAUUAGUCUUUACAUUGGUUCUUUAUAAUGACUUGGUAAUUCGUGUUGUGCAUUAUCAAAAAUUUAUGAAAUGCUCUGAGAGUUCUCACCAAAGCCUUAAACAAUUUUAUUCAUUCAUUCAAUAAACAUACCUAUUAUGCUCUAGCUCUGUGCUAGGUGUUAGUUAUAACUAAUAAAUAAAGGCAUUUUCCAGCUCUGCAAUUUCUGUAAAAUUCCAAAAGAAAAUACACCGCCACAGCAUCAUGUGCUAUUCAGUGACGGACAAAACACCAGCUCUGCUUGACUGAAGUUCACAGCCCACAAGCUCGCAUGUGGUAUGGUGAUAAUCCUUUAUCGUACAGAGGGGUAUGUGUGUUUGUAGCAUUAUAUGCAAUGUGUAGAUUAAUAUAGUGUAAGUGGUUAUUAUAGCUUAAAUUUGAUUCAUUAAUCAUUUUUUUUUUAACAAAAAUGUUUUACUAGUCUUCCUUCAAGCUUUUGGAUAAGUUCAAUUUAAAAAUCUUGAAAUUACAAUCUAUUACUUUAACUAUUGGCAUUUGCAUUCCUGUGUAUUAGUAUUUUCUCAAUACUAUGCAGCCAGGAAAACAUCACAGAAAUAAAUUAGAUGCUGAAGUUGAUAUAAAGGUGCAGCUGUUAUUAACUGCUCCUAUUUUCACAUUUUUGUGUUCAACUGAAUACACCUAGCAUUCUCACUGAUUGAAUCUGUAAUAAGUAACAUUUUUUAACUUGAGCUUAUUAAAAUACAUCUAUACUAAUUAAUUUUUGGAUGUAUUUUUAAACGUUGGGAUUACUUGUAGGUGUUAAAAGGUUUUUUCCUGAAAGUCUUCUGAAAACCUGAACCAAGGAGAUAGAACAAAAACAAAUUAUUUUUAUUGUCAUUGUCAUCAAUAACAAGAAACACAACAAUAAGGAAAAUACUUGGGAAGUAGACACCUAUAAGAUCCUAUAGGAAAGCCAUAAGGUCAAAAAGAGUGGAGAUUGUUUCUGCUUACUAAAUGGAAAAGUUUUGAAGGAAAAGCAAUGUAUCAAUUCAAACCUUUGUGACAGAUAUUACUUGAGACAAUUUAUAAAUUAUCCAAAUUAUAUUUCUCCCAAAUCUCUACUAAAUGCUAAGAAGUAAAAAAAAAUUAUAGAAUUAUUCAUUAAUAUUUACCGUAGACAUUACAUUAGUUUUAGGUCAAUUUUAUGAUAUGAUUUAUUUGUUUAGUUAAAUAUAUACUGAGAGAUACAGAUACAGAUAUAUUGAGGCCCUUUGUAUAAUUGUCAUAUAUAUAUAUCCAUUGUAUAUUACUUUUAUGUCCGUUUUAUAUGACUGGAAGUCAAAUUUUACCACGAAAAUGAGCAUAUAGUAGUAUUUUUGUUAUUUUCAUCAUUAUGAAUUUUUUGUUAUCACUA
rnacentral:lncRNA from 1 species